UACGUAGGUGGCAAGCGUUGUCCGGAUUUAUUGGGCGUAAAGCGCGCGCAGGCGGUCCUUUAAGUCUGAUGUGAAAUCUUGCGGCUCAACCGCAAGCGGUCAUUGGAAACUGGGGGACUUGAGUACAGAAGAGGAAAGUGGAAUUCCACGUGUAGCGGUGAAAUGCGUAGAGAUGUGGAGGAACACCAGUGGCGAAGGCGACUUCUGGUCUGUAACUGACGCUGAGCGCGGAAGCGAGGGAGCAACUGGGAUUAAG
rnacentral:rRNA from 1 species